GUCAAAUCUAAAAUUUUAAUUUUGUUUUUUAGGAAUCUGGUGGACAGUCACAAACUUCGAUGAAAUUUCAGGAAGCAUAGCAAUUGAAAUGGAUAAAGGAACCUAUAUACAUGCACUUGACAAUGGACUUUUUACAUUGGGAGCUCCACAUAAAGAAGUUGAUGAGGGCCCUAGUCCUCCAGAGCAGUUUACAGCUGUCAAAUUGUCUGAUUCUAGGGGAAAAUGGCUUUAUUGGCCUCAAAUAGCUGCUUCCUUAGAUGCAAUGAAGCAGGUGAUAUAGAAGCAAAAAGUAAAACAGCAGGAGAAGAAGAAAUGAUAAAGGUUCUUUGACUCUGCACAUAUAGACAAGUCUCUGUUCCUGGCUCAUCAUGGCUUCAACUUCAAGGUAAGUGCCUUUGAUGAAAGCCUUUAUGAAGGGCCACACCCAGGACAUUUUUAGCUCUUGGUCCUGCUGGCCUCACUAAGCAUAUGGUGUCUAGGAAAGAAAAAGGAGGAAGAGAGAGCAGAAAAGGGAGCUUGAGGAAAGAUGAGGCAAGCAGGGUAGUGUGUGGUAUAGGUGAGGCUUUGUAGCUCCAGGGUCUGCACUGUGUCUGAAAAUGUGAUUUAUUUUUCUCAUCUUAAUUUUUUUAAGAUAUAUAUAUCAGAGAGAGGGAGAGAGAGCACAAGUGGGAGUUAGAGAGAGCGGGAAACACGCUCCAGAUGGAGCACGGAGCCCGAUGUGGGACUCGACCUCAUGACCCUGAGAUCAGGAUCCAAGCUGAAACCAACAGUUGGUCACAUAACUGACUGUGCCAUCCAGGCGCCCCUUCCUCAUCUUUUAAUGCACAAGGUGCUUGCUACUGGACUACCGUGGUCCCUGCAAGCUUUACCAUUCCAUGAGUGUUCUUUCCUUAUUUUUUUUCAAGUUUUUACUUAAAUUCUAGUUAGUUAACAUACACUGUAAUAUUGGUUCAAGACUAGUAUUUAGUGAUUCAUCACUUAUGUAUAACACAUAACAAGUGCCCUCCUCAAUGCCAAUCACCACGCCAAUCCCAUGCCCUGCUUCCCUCCAGCAAGCCUCUUGUUCUCUGUACUAAAGAAUCUCUUAUAGUAUACCUCCCACUCUUUUCCUUCCUUCCCCUAUAUUCGUGUGUUGUUGUUGUUGUUGUUUUAAUUCCACAUAUGAGUGAAAUCAUCCGGUACUUUGUCUGAAUGACUGACUUUGCUCAACGUAUAGAAUACACUCUAGGUCCUUUCUUUGGUGUUAGUAGUGAUCUCUCCUUUCUCUUUCAUGAUUUUUUUAAUUUGAGUGUUUUCUGUCUUCUUUUAAAUAAGGCUGGCUAGUGGUUUAUCUAUCUUAUUAAUUCUUUCAAAGAACCAAACCCUGGUUUUGUUGAUCUGUUCCACAGUUCUUCUGGUCUCUAUUUCAUUGAGUUCUGCUCGAGUCUUUUUUAACCCUUUUCUUCUGCUGGGUGUAGGAUCUAUUUGCUGUCUUUUCUCCAGCUCCCUUAGGUGCAAGGUUAGCUUUUGUAUUUGAGUUCUUUCCAGUUUUUGGAUGGAUGCUUGUAUUGUGAUGCAUUUCCCCCUCAGGCCUGCUUUUGCUGUAUCCCAAAGAUUUUGAAUGGUGGUGUCUUCAGUCUCAUUAGUUUCCAUGAAUCUUUUUAAUUCUUCUCUAAUUUCGUGGUUGACCCUUUCACCUUUUAGCAGGAUGGUCCUUAACCUCCACGUGUUUGAAAUCCUUCCAAACUUCUUCUUGUGAUUUAGUUCUAGUUUCAAAGCAUUAUGGUCUGAAAAUACACAGGGGACGAUCCCAAUCUUUUGGUAUCAGUUAGGACCUGAUGUGUGACCCAGUUUGUGGUCUCUUCUGGAGAAAGCCCCAUGUGCACUUGAGAAGAAUGUGUAUUCAGUUGCGUUUGGAUGUAAAGUUCUGUAAAUAUCUGUGAAAUCCAUCUGGUCCAGGGUAUCAUUUAAAGCUCCUGUUUCUUUGGAGAUGUUGUGCUUGAAAGACCUGUCGAUUGCAGAAAGCGCUACAUUGAAGUCCCCAAGUAGAAGUGUAUUAUUAUCUAAGUAUGUCUUAACUUUGGUUAUUAAUUGAUUGAUCUGCUUGGCGGCUCACGCAUCCGGGCCAUAAAUAUUCAUGAUUGUUAGGUCCUCUUGUUGGAUAGAUCCUUUAAGUAUGAUAUAGUGUCCCUCUUCACCUCUCACUACAGUCUUUGGGAUAAACUUUAAUUUAUCUGAUAUAAGGAUGGCUACCCCUGCUUUUUUUGAGGACCAUUUGAAUGGUACACAGUUCUCCAACCUUUUGUUUUCAGACUGUAGGUGUCCUGAUGUCUAAAAUGAGUCUCUUGGAGACAGCAAAUAGAUGGGCCUUGCUUUUUUUAUCCAGUCUGAAACCCUGCGCCUUUGGAUGGGGUCAUUAAGCCCGUUCACGUUCAGAGUUACUAUUGAAAGAUAGGGAUUUAUGAUACCUGAAUAUGAUACCUAUUCAGUCCCUGUGUUUGUGGAUUGUUUCCUUGGACUUCCUCUUUCUU